AGCAGUAGCCGCGGGAAUACAGAGGGUGCGAGCGUUAAUCGGAUUUACUGGGCGUAAAGUGUGCGUAGGCGGCUUCUUAAGUCGGAUGUGAAAUCCCUGAGCUUAACUUAGGAAUUGCAUUCGAUACUGGGAAGCUAGAGUAUGGGAGAGGAUGGUAGAAUUCCAGGUGUAGCGGUGAAAUGCGUAGAGAUCUGGAGGAAUACCGAUGGCGAAGGCAGCCAUCUGGCCUAAUACUGACGCUGAGGUACGAAAGCAUGGGGAGCAAACAGGAUUAGAUACCCCCGUAGUCCCUGUCUCUUAUAC
rnacentral:rRNA from 1 species